rnacentral:lncRNA from 1 species
UGGCGAUGCUGGUUCAAGCCUCAACUCAGUCAGUUGGUGUUUUUGUGUGGAGUUUGCAUGUUCUCCCUGCGUUCGUGUGGGUUUCCUCCGGUUGCUUCAACUUCCCCCACAGUCCAAAGACACGCGGAACAGUGGCAACGCUGGUUCGAGCCUCGGCUGGGUCAGUUGGUGUUUCUAUGUGGAGUUUGCAUGUUCUCCCUGCGUUCGAGUGGGUUUCCUCCGGUUGCUUCGACGUCCCCCACAGUCUGAAGACACGAGAACAGGCACAGCUUUAACACAACAGCAGCCUUUUCAAAGUGGACAGAAUUCUUUGAGAUUCAAUCUAAAGCUAAGUAUUUUGUUUCAGUUGUUUGUAGUGCCUUAUAAUAUAGUCACAUUUUCAGCAUAAUGUUAAAUCUUAGUCUCAUUCAAGUGUUUUUUUUUUUUUAUGUUUUUACUACCAGAAGACCCAAGAAGAUGUUGACUGAGAAAACAAAUGUCCUGCAGUAUUGUUGAGGAAGACAUCUACCUAACUAUAUAUUGGAGAAGACCAGGUGUAUGCGCACUACGGCAUUGCAGAAUGAUGGACCAGAGGAAGAACAUCUCUACUACGGAGGUAUUCUGAAACAAGAGAAGACCAGGGCGUUUGGCAUUGCACACCACGGCAUUGCAGGAUGACGGACCAGAGGAUAUACAGUCUGUGCAUGCCAGAUCCAGAGGCCAGAUGGUGGAAGGCGGUUUCCUGCAACAUUUAGAUAAUUUACAUAGUUUAAAAAUGUUAUUAGCUUAUACAUUUAAAAAAUGUUGUUAUGUUACGUGCCACGCCCAAGGAAGAUGGGUACUCCCUUGCUGAGUCUGGUCUUUCCAAGGUUUCUCUCCAAACUUUUUGGAGUUUUUUUCCUUGCCACAGUCGCCAAUGGCUUGCUCACAGGGGGUGUUGUGCCAAGUCCUGUCUUCCCCUCGGGUCCUUUAUCUUCAAACUUAGAUUCCAUUUAAUAAGAUAUAUAGUAAUUUAACCAUAAAAAUGUUAAUAAAAAGGAGCUUAAAAGUAAUUUAAAACAAGUAAAAAUAGGCUUAAGAGUACAAAUAAAGCUUAGUCAAUCAUAUCAUCACAAUUUAGGAUAUUUGUAUGCAGUUUAGGUUUGAAUAUGUUUGCUUGUAAUAAAUACUAAUGAGUAAAAUAUUUGCACCAUAAACUAUUAAGUGUUAUAAAUCAAUAGUUUAACUUUUUUUUUUCUCAGAUUAGAGCUGCA